AACUUUCGACAAUGGAUCUCUUGGCUCUCACAUCGAUGAAGAACGCCGCGAAAUGCGAUAAGUAAUGUGAAUUGCAGAAUUCAGUGAAUCAUCGAAUCUUUGAACGCACCUUGCACCUUUUGGUAUUCCGAAAGGUAUGCCUGUUUGAGUGUCUUGAAACCUCACACUCUAGAGUUUUCUCUAUAGACGUGGAUUUGGGUGUUGCAAUUUGCUCACCUUGAAUGACUUAGUGGUUCCUACCGCAACCUGAUGUAAUAAGUUUCAUCUGGCCAAGGGAAGACUGCUUCUAAUCGCCUCGCGGCACUAUUUAAGACUAGACCUCAAAUCAGGUAGGACUACCCGCUGAACCUUAGCAUAUCAAUAAGCGGAGGCU
rnacentral:misc_RNA from 1 species